UACGGAGGGGGCUAGCGUUGUUCGGAAUUACUGGGCGUAAAGCGCACGUAGGCGGCUUUGUAAGUUAGAGGUGAAAGCCUGGUGCUCAACACCAGAACUGCCUUUAAGACUGCAUCGCUUGAAUCAUGGAGAGGCGGGUGGAAUUCCGAGUGUAGAGGUGAAAUGCGUAGAUAUCGGGAGGAACACCUGUGGCGAAAGCGGCGCACUGGACCAUAACUGACGCUGAUGCGCGAAAGCUAGGGGAGCAAACAGG
rnacentral:rRNA from 1 species